UCUGCCGCAUUGCAGACAGAGGCUUUACCGUCUGAGUCACCGGGGAAGCCCAUAGGAUUUACCUCUCCCUGGGGAAAGGUACUGCUGCUGAGACACCCCUAAUGAACCACACUCCUUAGCGAACACAGAGCCAAGAACUCCAAAACUUGUUAAAAUAAGAAAUAUCCUCAUCAUCAAUGCAAGUGGAAGAAAAUCUCUCACAGCAGAG